GAGCAACGCAACUCGUGUACUGAGUCGAUCAGAUCUCGCCGAGGAAGCGCGUAGUUUUCUGGAGAAAUUCUUCUCGUCCGCUUGUUGCCAGAGUGGUACAAAUGUCCCCCCGGCCUUUGCUCAUUGUCCUCUCGCUGGUUCUCCUGGUACACCAGCCUUGCGAUGGCGGCAUUAUCCUAGACAAGAUCAGCAGCUUCGUUAACAAGUUCGUGCCGCUCCAGCGAACAACUACCACUGCGCUGCCUCCGGCUGCCUCCACGUCAUCAGAGGGGGCUGCUGCAGCAGCCAACCACAGCGCCGGCGACAACGCGACUACUGCAGCGCCGCUCUCUGGCCCACAGCUCGCUGUUGACAACUCGACGCUGUCCGUGACGUCACUGCCAGAUGACGUAACCACGGCCAGCUCGAACAGUUCACAGUCCAAAGGUUUCAUCAUCGCCCCUAACUUAGUCAAAUGUGGCUCCGGUUUUAGAACGGGGCAUAAUGGCCGGUGCCACAGGAUCGUGUGAAUGAAUGAUCUGCAUCCGUUUCAGGAUGCAAAACAUCUUGUACAUAUUUAUUAUUCAUUUGUUCGUCACCAUUUCAUAAAAUAAAAUACUGAAAAUACUA